rnacentral:tRNA from 3 species
GGAGGAGUGGCUGAGUGGUUGAAGGCACCGGUUUCGAAAACCGGCAUACUCGAAAGGGUAUCGUGAGUUCAAAUCUCACCUCCUCCGCCA